rnacentral:lncRNA from 1 species
CAAAGGCCUUUUUUUUUUUGUAUCAGGAGUUAACACUAAGAGAAGGGCAUGGAAGAAGUUGAUGUUUUAAUUGAUACUUGGUCCUUUAGAAUAUUGAAGAAGUGAGAAGUCCGUGAAAAGUGCUCCAGAAUGACUAGUUAAAGCUCUGAAAUCACGUCGACUUCUGAGAAUGCGCUUUCACAACUCACAAGGAUGGAGGUUUGCAGACAGACUCUUCUGGGUGGAGAAUACUCUUCUGAGAUCAGCACUGAAGUGAUGCCAUACCCCACCCCAAACCAGCGCAACUGAAUCCUAAGCAGUAAGUGGUAUUCUGUGGAACAAAUCGUCUUACCCGAGGAGUCCAGCUUGUUUGCCCCUCGUGGGGCAGAGCCACCCUCCCACGCUGGACUCCCAGGCACAGCCACCGUGUGCAGUCUCUGUGUUGCAGUCAAGGAUGGCAGGGCUUGUAGGCAUCCUCGUGCUGCAGGCCACACCUCCACCUGGAGGCCUGGUAUUGGGGACCUUGCCCAAGCAACUCUGCCAAGACUCUCUCACUGGGGUAGAGGAAACUUGAGCACACUUUUCCCCACUCUAACUCUGUAUUCCGUACUUUUGCACUCCCGGCUCUCCCCCGCCCCCCUUCCUCCUGGCCCCCAGGAGUGCUCUCCUGGCAGUGAGACAGUCCCCACAGCAGUGCUGAUUCUCCUGCCCCUUGCCUCACGCUGUCAGAUGAGUAAGAAUGGAACACUGCAGGCGCCCGCACUUUCUCGUGUUGAGCGUCUCGUUAAUGCCGUAGCAGGGAUUCAAGGCUUAGCUGUUACUUGGUUUUUUUUUUAAUGUUUAUUUAUUAAUUUUGAGAGAGAGAGAACACAGGAGGGGCAGGGAGAGGGAGAGAGAGAAAGAAUCCCAAGCAGGCUCCUCUCUCUCAGCACGGAACCCGAUGCGGGGCUCGAGCCUAUGAACCGUGAGAUCAUGACCUGAGCCAGAACCAAGAGUUGGACGCUCAACCGGCUGAGCCACCCGGGUGCACCUCUGACUUUCAUUUUUGUCUGUGUUAACUGACCACCAACACCUGGCAGCUGGUGCACGAAAUGGUAUGAGAGUGUACAAGUGGACUUAGUGUCAUUAUGAUCAACUAGACUUUUGUUAUGUAACCAGCACCUCCCCCCACCCCCAGCUACCACCCCAAAUCUGUUGCCUACAGUACAGGACUUGGUCUUGCUUAUGUUGUGUGUCAGCUGUGGCUCACUUGCAGAUCUGCAACACAUUCUCUCCACUCCAGGACCCAGGCUUGAGGAGUAAAAGAAAAACGGUGGUGGGAACACACAGUGGCUUUUACAGGAGAAGCAUAUAUCAUUUGCAUUUAUGUUUCAUUAGCCAAGGCAGGUCAAAUAGCCAAGCUUAACGAUAGGGUGGGGGAAAAUAAUCCUUACAAAGAUGGCAAUGAGGAACCAAAAAAAUUUGAUAAAAUCUACCAUCAAGAGGGCCAAUGUUUAUGGAAUGCUUUCUAUGUCGGGGCUUUUUCUGAGUGCCUUAUGUGUGUAUUUGUCAAUAACAAACAGUGGUAUGAGAUACAUACCACUACCAUUUUACAGCUGCAGAAGUUGAGGAGCAGAGACAUUAAAUAACUUGGUCAUUUGGCCAGCAAAUGGUCAAGCCAGGGAUUGAAACCAGGAGUGUAAGGUGACGACCUGUUCUCUUAACUACUAAGCUGUAACGUGAAAGUUUUAGCAUGAAGGUUGUUCUUAUGCCGUAGUGGGCUUCAAGGAGCCAGUGUGUUAUGCUGGUAAAAACUUUCAAGGUGAGAUUUAAGAGAUUUAAAUUCUGGGUGAUUUCUCUCCUAGGCUGCUCUCAUUUGUUACAUUUGACUCCCUUCCCCCCUCUAAGGAAAGGGUGCCUAUUUCAUGAUCAACCUGUUCUUUCAGAGGGUGACUCCUGGCCUUAGACAAAGAGUCUAUCUCCCUGCAGAGUUUUGCGGAAGUCUAGUACAGAGGACUAAAUGGGAACAUUCCCCAGGGCCUCCACAAGUCCAGGGGCUUCUGAAUAGUUCAGCCAAGUGAGGGAGGAGCCCCUUUGAGGAAUCACAGCUUGCACUGCUUCAAGCCAAGGACAGUAUCACUCUGAUAAAGGGAUAAGCCUCACUGAUAAGUAUCUGGUAAGUAUCACUCUGGUAAAGACACUUGGGAGAACCUGCCCUGAAGUUCACUUCUGUCAGUGCCCUGGGAGUGGGAAAUUCUCCCUUCACCUUGCGCACAAUUUCAGCUUCGGCUGUGAUAAAAGCAUCUGCUGCUCAGUCUAACGUGAGUGCUCCAGAAAUGCCUCUCCCUGAGAAAACAAGCCCUGGAGCACCAGCAGUCCUGACUGAGCCCCAGCAGACUUGAGGAAACCCUAUGAGGAUUCUCAGCCCGGAAGGACCGUCAGUGUAAACCCAGGUCCCGUGGCACCGCACAGCAGAGAAGCCACCUAAAGAAGAGUCCCACGAGAGUAAAGAAUGUGGCAAAGCCUGCGGAUACUGGGAGGGUCUUGUCAGGCGUCAGAGGACCCGUGAGCAUAUGUUCAGUGCUGUAAAUGUUCGUGUGAGCUCAGCUCUCAUCAAACAGAAGCAAAUUCAUCUUGGGCGCGAGUGCGUAGGCGGAAGGUCUUCAUUUGGAAGCAGCGCUUCUUGCCAGAAAACCCAUAAGUGGAAAAAUGUGGGAAGGCCUUCACUAAGAUCAGUCUUCUCCAUCAGCAAAUACACCCUGGAGCAAAGCCCUAUAUGCGUGACUGCUCUGGGGACCUUUCAGCGUUAGCUCAGUUCUUACAGUGGAUCCGAGAUUCCUCUUUGAGUGUAAGUGAUACGGGAAAGCCUUCAGUCAAAGUUCAAAUCUUACCAAACAUCAGUCUGUACUGGAGAGAAGUCUUCUGCCUGGGGCGGGUAUGAACUCCUUUCUUCAGACAUCAAAGGAUACACAACAAAAAUAAACUUCAGUUGUCAAAUGUAUGGUAAAGGUAUAGUACAGGACUUUUUCAACAUCAAGCAUCACAGUUAAGUAGGAAGAGCAUGAAAGUUUGGAUCUCAGGGUCAUGAGUUUGAGCCCCAUAUUGGGCCUAGAGAUUAUUAAAUAAAUAAAAACUUUAAAAAUCCAGCUGCAGGGGCGCCUGGAUGGCGCAGUCGGUUAAACGUCCGACUUCAGCCAGGUCACGAUCUCGCAGUCCGUGAGUUCGAGCCCCGCGUCGGGCUCUGGGCUGAUGGCUCGGAGCCUGGAGCCUGUUUCCGAUUCUGUGUCUCCCUCUCUCUCUGCCCCUCCCCCGUUCAUGCUCUGUCUCUCUCUGUCCCAAAAAUAAAU